GACGAACGCUGGCGGCGUGCCUAAUACAUGCAAGUUGAGCGAGCUUGCCUAGAUGAAUUUGGUGCUUGCACCAGAUGAAACUAGAUACAAGCGAGCGGCGGACGGGUGAGUAACACGUGGGUAACCUGCCCAAGAGACUGGGAUAACACCUGGAAACAGAUGCUAAUACCGGAUAACAACACUAGACGCAUGUCUAGAGUUUAAAAGAUGGUUCUGCUAUCACUCUUGGAUGGACCUGCGGUGCAUUAGCUAGUUGGUAAGGCAACGGCUUACCAAGGCAAUGAUGCAUAGCCGAGUUGAGAGACUGAUCGGCCACAUUGGGACUGAGACACGGCCCAAACUCCUACGGGAGGCAGCAGUAGGGAAUCUUCCACAAUGGACGCAAGUCUGAUGGAGCAACGCCGCGUGAGUGAAGAAGGGUUUCGGCUCGUAAAGCUCUGUUGGUAGUGAAGAAAGAUAGAGGUAGUAACUGGCCUUUAUUUGACGGUAAUUACUUAGAAAGUCACGGCUAACUACGUG
rnacentral:rRNA from 1 species